CUCUUAUGGAGAGUUUGAUCCUGGCUCAGGACGAACGCUGGCGGCAUGCCUAAUACAUGCAAGUCGAGCGAACUGAAGGAAGCUUGCUUCCUUUAGUUA
rnacentral:rRNA from 1 species